rnacentral:misc_RNA from 1 species
UUUGUUCCACUAGAGAGUGCUCUUGUGUCAUGGAGCAACUGCCUUUUAUUUAUCACCCUAAUAAUAUCAUGUAUUUUUAUUGGACUAAAUGCAGUUUGUAUGAGCUGCCCUGCCCUGCCCUGAUCAAAUUAAAUAAUACACAGUGCGUUUCCCUGAAAAUAUAGGCAGUACAUUCAGCCUUUGAUUUUAGUCGGUUCAUUAAGUUGCAUGGAAAUACUAAUCACUGAUACAUUUUGUUCAUGUCUUUAUAUAGUGUACCAAGAUUUGUUCUCAA